UACAGAGGGGGCAAGCGUUGUCCGGAUUUACUGGGCGUACAGCGCGCGCAGGCGGAACUGGACGUGCCGUGUGACAAGCCACCGCUCACCGGUGGAGGGCCACGGUACACGACAGUUCUGGAGGCAGGGAGAGGGAUGUGGAAUGCCCGGUGGAGCGGUGAAAUGCGUAGAUAUCAAGCGGAACACCAGUGGCGAAGGCGAGUCCCUGGACAACACCUGACACUGAGGCACGAAAGCUAGGGGAGCAAACAGG
rnacentral:rRNA from 1 species